rnacentral:rRNA from 1 species
GACGAACGCUGGCGGCGUGCUUAACACAUGCAAGUCGAACGGAAAGGCCCUGCUUUUGUGGGGUGCUCGAGUGGCGAACGGGUGAGUAACACGUGAGUAACCUGCCCUUGACUUUGGGAUAACUUCAGGAAACUGGGGCUAAUACCGGAUAGGAGCUCCUGCUGCAUGGUGGGGGUUGGAAAGUUUCGGCGGUUGGGGAUGGACUCGCGGCUUAUCAGCUUGUUGGUGGGGUAGUGGCUUACCAAGGCUUUGACGGGUAGCCGGCCUGAGAGGGUGACCGGCCAGAUUGGGACUGAAAUACGGACCGGACUCAUACGGGAGACAGCAGCGGGGGAUAAUGCACAAUGGGCGGAAGCCUGAUGCAGCAACGCCGAGUGCGGGAUGACGGCGUUCGGGUUGUAAGCCGCUUGAGCCUGUGACAAAGCGUGAGAGACGGUAAUGGGUAAAGAAGCACCGGCUAACAACGUG